AUGAACGCUGGCGGCGUGCCUAAUACAUGCAAGUCGAGCGAACAGAUGAGGAGCUUGCUCCUCUGACGUUAGCGGCGGACGGGUGAGUAACACGUGGAUAACCUACCUAUAAGACUGGGAUAACUUCGGGAAACCGGCUCUAAUACCGGAUAAUAUAUUGAACCGCAUGGUUCAAUAGUGAAAGACGGUUUUGCUGUCACUUAUAGAUGGAUCCGCGCCGCAUUAGCUAGUUGGUAAGGUAACGGCUUACCAAGGCAACGAUGCGUAGCCGACCUGAGAGGGUGAUCGGCCACACUGGAACUGAGACACGGUCCAGACUCCUACGGGAGGCAGCAGUAGGGAAUCUUCCGCAAUGGGCGAAAGCCUGACGGAGCAACGCCGCGUGAGUGAUGAAGGUCUUCGGAUCGUAAAACUCUGUUAUUAGGGAAGAACAAAUGUGUAAGUAACUAUGCACGUCUUGACGGUACCUAAUCAGAAAGCCACGGCUAACUACGUG
rnacentral:rRNA from 1 species